UACCAGCACCCCGAGCGGUCGGGACGAUUAUUGGGCCUAAAGCAUCCGUAGCCGGUUUUACAAGUCCCCCGUUAAAUCCAACUGCUUAACAGAUGGGCCGCGGAGGAUACUAUAAGACUAGGAGGCAGGAGAGGCAAGCGGUACUUAGUGGGUAGGGGUAAAAUCCGUUGAUCCAUUGAAGACCACCAGUGGCGAAGGCGGCUUGCCAGAACGCACUCGACGGUGAGGGAUGAAAGCUGGGGGAGCAAACCGG
rnacentral:rRNA from 1 species